CUAUAUUUAAUCACAUGUUAAAAUCUAUAUAAUUAACUGAGAUUUUUAACAUAUGACUAUUUAAAGGCCAAUUUUUAUAAAGAUUAAUCUGAUUUUGUUUUAAUAAUGCAGAACCUGAGUUUUAUCAAGCCUAUAUAUAAUAUUUAACCAAAGCCUAUAUAAAGUGUCUAGUCUAAGCCUAUAUAAAAUGUCCAGCCUAAGACUCAAAAUUUUGUAAAUAAAUGAGUUUAUCUUUCAGAACACGAUGGGUUAGUUGAACUCUGCUAACCGGCAUUCGUGUUUAUUUCUCCAGGUCUAUAAAGCAUCGGUAAUCAAUGUUUAAGGCUAUUUAAGCAAUGUUGCCAAAUCUUAUUCCUACGGAUGGUUUAUAGAAUAUAUGUAGAUAAUUGUGAUUGUUGUGAUUCAUCUAAAUAGUUCCGGCUUCGUCUCCUGUAUUGAACCAGGUGAAAAAAUUGCAAAUAUCUAAAAUGAGCUUAAAAAUAUCCUGACUCCUCACAAAUUUCUCAACGCAUUUCUCAUGCUAGGCUGGCACGAGUCCCGUUGAUAUGUAACCUCGUCUUGCUCUGCUGACUUGCGGACAAGUUCUACUUCUCUUCAACAUGCAGAUGAUCUCUCCUGUGUGUUUGACUCCUGAGAUGAAUAAGUUCUCUCCUAGUCCCACCUAUUAAUCUUGACGUCCUGAGUCUAAGGAAGUCCACAUAAAGGUGAGGAUCAAAGCUCACAACCUUUGAGCUCUGGAACUCAGUCUAAUUAUCUUUAUUUAGACCUCCGUUGUCAAGACUCCGACAUCACCGGAAGCUGAGUUAUCCUGUUUCUCUGGACACUCCGGCACCUCCGAUGAGAAGGAUCUACCCUGUAUCCCUGAUCUAAACGCCUCCUUUAGAUCAAAUACAGUUACCCUGUUCAUGACUGCGGUGCAAUUUAAUGAACUAUAGGCUACAAACCUCUGGACAAAUCAACAUUUUCACGGUUGAGUCCUGUAUAAACUGCCUACCUGAAAUAUAUACAUAAGAUUUAAUCAGUGCAAAUAGAGGUGAGCCGAAGAGAAAGAGUUCAUGCUCGCUCUUAUGUUUGUAGUUAUUACCUGGUCUCCUAUAGGUAAAAAUGAGCACACCUGAAUAGAUAUAUUUAAGGUAUCUGCAUGUGCAUAAUAUUGCCGAUGAAUAUUGUUAGUCUCAAGGUUCAAAGUCUAUUUAUGAUUUCGCAUGGA